rnacentral:lncRNA from 12 species
CUAAGGCUUUUCUCUGCCUUUGGCCUCAAAAUUGCUUCAAAAGCAUCAAGUGACUUACUCAGCAGAGUGAAGGCUCGAGACAGAACGUGCUGUGCAAAUGCAGUGUUUGCCUUUGGAAUAUUAACCUCGAGAGGCUCGGGUGAGCUGGGAAGUCGAGAGCCUUCCUCUCGGUCCCUGGCAGCCUGCUCAGGCUGUGCGUGUUUUUCCAGCUCGAAGAGUGAUGAGCCUCUUCUGCACACUCCAGAUGUUUCCAGCCCUGCGGCGCCGUCGUCGUCUAAAGCAAGCUGCCGGGCACCGACUCUUCGGGUGACAUUCUCCCACAGGUUCUCUCGAAUGGGUUUGGCUUUGCUGCAGGGAACGAGGAAAAGACCUGUGUUUGUGUUUUCUCUCGUAAAGAAUACGGACACCGUAAUCUGCUUUACAUCUGGGUCUGACUGCACACAAGAGAGAGUGGGUGGAAUGGGUGGUGGGCAAGUCAGCUGCGGGGGAGGCGGGGGCCCCCCGCCGAUAGCACACCUGUGUAGGUGUGACAGGGCAGCUCGCUGGGUGGAGGAGUCUCUGGAAGACUCGAGGCCCCUCCACUGGAGGCUGGAGGAGGGGACUGUUGCUGUUUUUCAGUGAUUCCGGGCUCUUUCCCCCUUGGAGCAUUUCUGGUUCUGUCUGGGUUUUCUGGAAGCAGUUAGAAGAAACAGCUGGAUGUUGGAGGGAAAAUGUCUAAUGUGCUUAACAUCUUUAUAAAGGCGAUUCACAUUUAGAGAAAGGAUUUGAGUUGAUUUUCCCCAAACCAGCUCUCUUCUCUCUCUGUGCAAAGGCUUUCCUAAAACUUCCCAAUGUGUAGAGGGUGGAUUAAACAAGUGAGAAGUCAUAAAGUGCAGCCCUAUUUAAAUAGAGGCACCUAUGGCCCAGGCAUCUGAUUAUGGAUGAGUGUUGAGUGCCACUUGCAAAGUGUGCAGCCGGCCUGCCUUAAAUAACACUCCCUAGGCCCAAGCAGUCCUGAAGAGGUUUCUAGGAUUAGAUCACAGCCUGGCAAAAGCAGAGCAAGUCUGGAAAAGUCCUAGGAGGAUGGAAAAACAUUUUUUCCUCUUUUGUUUCAAAUCUAUCAGAUCAAGCAGCUGAUGCAAGCUUUGGACCAAAUGAAACAUUUCAAUAACUCGUAUUGUUAAAUCACAAUCAGCUGGAGGGAUUUGAUUUGCGACCGGCUCAGAAGAAUAUUCUUGGGGAUAUUUUGAAAGGAUCACCAAGAGCAAAUUACUGCCAUUGUUCCUUAAGGGAAAAAGGAUUUGUUUUAUUCAAUAAACUGCAGGGCGCUCAGCA